AGACAGGCAAAACAAAAAAGGGGGAAGCAAAGCAGAGCAGCACGCGUAUUUGCAGCAAAACGCUUUUUCACUUUUUGUUUGUUUGUUUGCUUGCUUCUUACUUAAAAUU
rnacentral:ribozyme from 1 species